GACGAACGCUGGCGGCGUGCUUAACACAUGCAAGUCGAACGGAAAGGCCCUGCUUUUGUGGGGUGCUCGAGUGGCGAACGGGUGAGUAACACGUGAGUAACCUGCCCUGGACUUUGGGAUAACUUCAGGAAACUGGGGCUAAUACCUGAUAGGAGCUCCUGCUGCAUGGUGGGGGUUGGAAAGUUUCGGCGGUUGGGGAUGGACUCGCGGCUUAUCAGCUUGUUGGUGGGGUAGUGGCUUACCAAGGCUUUGACGGGUAGCCGGCCUGAGAGGGUGACCGGCCACAUUGGGACUGAGAUACGGCCCAGACUCCUACGGGAGGCAGCAGUGGGGAAUAUUGCACAAUGGGCGGAAGCCUGAUGCAGCAACGCCGCGUGCGGGAUAACGGCCUUCGGGUUGUAAACCGCUUUCGCCUGUGACGAAGCGUGAGUGACGGUAAUGGGUAAAGAAGCACCGGCUAACUACGUG
rnacentral:rRNA from 1 species